rnacentral:rRNA from 2 species
AAACUUUCAACAACGGAUCUCUUGGUUCUGGCAUCGAUGAAGAACGCAGCGAAAUGCGAUAAGUAAUGUGAAUUGCAGAAUUCAGUGAAUCAUCGAAUCUUUGAACGCACAUUGCCCGCCAGCAUUCUGGCGGGCAUGCCUGUUCGAGCGUCAUUU